UACGUAGGAGGCAAGCGUUGUCCGGAAUUACUGGGCGUAAAGCGCGUGUAGGUGGUGGGACAAGUCUGCUGUGAAAGCGCCUGGCUUAACCGGGCGAGGUCGGCGGAAACUGUUCGACUCGAGGACGGUAGAGGGGGGUGGAAUUCCCGGUGUAGUGGUGAAAUGCGUAGAGAUCGGCAGGAACACCAAGGGGGAACCCAGCCCGCUGGGCCAGACCUGACACUGAGGUGCGACAGCGUGGGGAGCGAACGGGG
rnacentral:rRNA from 1 species